UACGGGGGGAGCAAGCGUUGUUCGGAUUUACUGGGCGUAAAGGGCGCGUAGGCGGCCACCGCAAGUCAAUUGUGAAAUCUCCGGGCUUAACUCGGAAAGGUCAACUGAUACUGCGGGGCUAGAGUGCGGAAGGGGCAACUGGAAUUCUCGGUGUAGCGGUGAAAUGCGUAGAUAUCGAGAGGAACACCUGCGGCGAAGGCGGGUUGCUGGGCCGACACUGACGCUGAGGCGCGAAAGCUAGGGUAGCAAACAGG
rnacentral:rRNA from 1 species